GAAAAUGUUUAGUUGGGAAUUGGAUGUGUUACAAAAAAUGUCAACGGUUUAACUUUGCCCACUGGUCUAGAAUUGAGCAAGUUGAAUGUUGCUUGAUAUUAGCUAAGCUAAUUAACUAGCUAAUAUGCAUUAACUAAUGAUCUCCUGUUUCAGCAGCUUGAAUUUCAUCCACAUUUGCUCUGUAAGUUGACGUGUAAUUUUGGCUACGUGUUCAAGAUUUAAACGAGUGCAUUUUGAUCUGCUUGCUUCUGCCAGGGGGCAAGUCUGGGGGCGACAGGAUAUGAUGCAGACACAGAAGACACACAUGAUGAGAAGGACAUUUUGGAUGGGGGUAGGUCAAAUGCUGUCUCCAGGUAGAAAACAAAUGGCAGAGUAUAAUGGUACAGUAUCUAAACACAGCAAAUAAAUAAGAUGAGAUGAUGUUUACUUUAUGGUAGAACCAGCUGCAUCUCAAGAAGCUGCGUCUCCACAACCGUCAGACGAGCUGGGAGGAGCUGAUGAUGAAACAGGUGAGCACUUCUUCUCUCUUCUUCUCUCUUCUUCUCCAUCUGCUUAUGUGCCAGCGUAACUUCAUUGCAGUAGUGUUCACAAUAAUUUACUUAAAAGACAGCUGAUAUUUCGGUAUGAUGAACUGUGCUUUUCGCUGAGAUGAUGUUUACUUUAUGGUAGAACCAGCUGCAUCUCAAGAAGCUGCAUCUCCACAACCGUCAGACGAGCUGGGAGGAGCUGAUGAUGAAACAGAACCAGCUGCAUCUCAAGAAGCUGCGUCUCCACAACCGUCAGACGAGCUGGGAGGAGCUGAUGAUGAAACAGGUGAGCUCUUCUUCUCUCUUCUUCUCUCUUCUUCUCCAUCUGCUUAUGUGCCAGCGUAACUUCAUUGCAGUAGUGUUCACAAUAAUUUACUUAAAGACAGCUGAUAUUUCGGUAUGAUGAACUGUGCUUUUC
rnacentral:lncRNA from 1 species